UAUCGUUUCCUGCCUCGCCUCGCCCACGUCAUGGCCCCGCUAUACGAUGCGCUCAGCGGCAACCCAAAACACCUGAAAUGAACCCCCGCCCAGAGCAAAUCCUUCGACGCCACGAAAGCUGCCCUUGCCAAAGCCGCCCUUGCCAAAGCCGCCCUUGCCAAAGCCGCGACAUUGACAUUACCGAAGCCGGCGGCUCCGCUUCAACUGACUACCGAUGCAAGUUGCCUGGGCUAAAAACGCCUUAUUAUACUAUGUCGUUUUUUUCGGGCUAACACGCCAUACUAUAAUAAGGUGUUUUUUUCGGGCUAAAAAAGCCUUACUAUACAUGGUCGUUUUUCUCGGGCUAAAAACGCCUUACUAUACUGUCGUUUUUUUCGGGCUAAAACGGCAUACUAUAGUAAGGCGUUUUUUUUCGGGCCAAAAAAGCCUUACUAUACAUGGUCGUUUUUUUCAAGCUAAAAAAGCCGUACUAUACAUGGUCGUUUUUCUCGGGCUAAAAACGCCUUACGAUACUAUGUUGUUUUUUUCGGGCUAAAAAAGCCUUACUAUACAUGGUGUUUUUUUCGGGCUAAAAACGCCUUACUAUACAUGGUCGUUUUUUUCGGGCUAAAAAAGCCUUACUAUACAUGGUCGUUUUUCUCGGGCUAAAAACGCCUUACUAUACUGUCGUUUUUUUCGGGCUAAAACGGCAUACUAUAGUAAGGCGUUUUUUUCGGGCCAAAAAAGCCUGACGAUACAUGGUCGUUUUUUUCGGGCUAAAAACGCCUUACUAUACAUGGUCGUUUUUCUCGGGCUAAAAACGCCUUACUAUACUGCCGUUUUUUUCGGGCUAAAACGGCAUACUAUAGUAAGGCGUUUUUUUCGGGCCAAAAAAGCCUGACGAUACAUGGUCGUUUUUUUCGGGCUAAAAAAGCCUUACUAUACAUGGUCGUUUUUCUCGGGCUAAAAACGCCUUACUAUACUGUCGUUUUUUUCGGGCUAAAACGGCAUACUAUAGUAAGGCGUUUUUUUCGGGCCAAAAAAGCCUGACGAUACAUGGUCGUUUUUUUCGGGCUAAAAACGCCUUACUAUACAUGGUCGUUUUUCUCGGGCUAAAAACGCCUUACUAUACUGCCGUUUUUUUCGGGCUAAAACGGCAUACUAUAGUAAGGCGUUUUUUUCGGGCCAAAAAAGCCUGACGAUACAUGGUCGUUUUUUUCGGGCUAAAAACGCCUUACUAUACAUGGUCGUUUUUCUCGGGCUAAAAACGCCUUA